rnacentral:rRNA from 1 species
UACGAAGGGGGCUAGCGUUGCUCGGAAUCACUGGGCGUAAAGCGCACGUAGGCGGCUUUCUAAGUCAGGGGUGAAAUCCUGGAGCUCAACUCCAGAACUGCCUUUGAUACUGGAGAGCUUGAGUCCGGAAGAGGUGAGUGGAACUCCGAGUGUAGAGGUGAAAUUCGUAGAUAUUCGGAAAGAACACCAGUGGCGAAGGCGGCUCACUGGUCCGGUACUGACGCUGAUGUGCGAAAGCGUGGGGAGCAAACAGGG